GCUAAAUCAGGUUAAUCACAACUGGUGUUAGAGACAGAACCUCUCCAGGAACAGGCUUGGCGAUCCCUGAUACCCUAUAGGAGAGCUCAUCAUAGGACAAAUAGGCUUUGUUGUCCAAAUGGUGAUGCUGGUUGUCUGUUGGAGAAAAAUCACUUGGCAGCGUCUUACCCAAGAGGACAUUCUGCAGAUUGUAAUACAGACAGAGAAAGGGAACAUGGGCUAUAUUUCAACAUUAACAGUGUCAACCUCACCCUGAAAUGAAAAACGCUUUUCACAACUUCGAAAGAUGACUUUCACACCUUCACAAGACCAAGCAAAUAUACCGUGGGGAUUCCAAAGUACACUACUUCACAUAAAGGAUUCCUCUCACUCCGGCUCCCUGUAUGGAUUCGAGGGUGGAGCGGCCUCCUGCUUCGACACUCUGUACUGAUUCGGGGGUGGAGCUUCCACCCUCCAUCCCUUUGCCUCAUCCUGCUCCUGGGGCGGAGACUCCACCUGUCCCGGCACCAUGACCUGCUCUGGGGGCAGAGCCCCACCUGUCCCGGCACCAUGACCUGCUCUGGGGGCAGAAACCCACCUGUCCUGGCACCAUGACCUGCUCUGGGGGCAGAGCCCCACCUGUCCCAGCACCAUGACCUGCUCUGGGGGCAGAGCCCCACCUGUCCCGGCACCAUGUCUUGCUCUGGGGGCAGAGCCCCACUUGUCCCGCAUCCCUUACGGCUCCAGAGGUGGAGUCUCCACCCAUCCCAGCGUCCAUUCCAAUCUGUCAGAAACCACUCUGUUUGUAUAAUUCACCUCAUGUUACCAACGAUGCCUCUUCAUCUUCACUCAUGUCCUGAUUCUGAAAGGCCAAGUUAGUCACAUAUAACCAAACAUGUGUAAUAAAGUACUCAACAUGCUUUGUUACAGAUUCUCCAUGUCAUUUGAUAUACUGUUGAUGAGGUGAAGUAGGAGGCACGAGUUACAAGGUCUGUUGUAAAGCUGUUGAUCCCUAUUUGUCUAGGUAGACUAUUCAGUUUGGAUGAGACGGGGCCAAACAUUGUGUUUGUUACUGUGUGGUAAAAAAGGUACAUGACUGUUCCUCUAUCCAGGCCCAAAUUUACAAAGCCUGGCUUUGCCCUCCAAGAUAGAAUUUUUACUAACCUAGGUAUUGUAAAUCCAUAAUGCAGACAACUCAAUUGGUCAGAUGGGUCUGGGAACAAGCUUUCUCUGUUUACAUAAUUUUCUACCAAUAAAUAAGCUGAUUGAUACAUGACGUGAUAUAGCCUGUAUAAUUUUGCAUGCCAAAAACAUGUAUGUGUCAACUGUGUGCAUGUGCUGUAAAUCCAGUGGCAAACAAAGAAAUCAGAGGAAAUAAAACUGUAGAGUAUAAAGCUUUGUAAAGGAUCCAGUGUGGUUUUAUCUGUAUUUUUGUUAGUGGCAUGUUCCCCCUAACUUCUUACCACUACUUUUCCUCUUAUGUUGGACUCCAUCUUGGGCAUAGCCUCCAGGUCUUCCUCAACAACGACCAUCCCAUCUCUCUGUGAAAUCACCCCCCUCUGGAUAUGUUUUUUUUCAAUUCACCACUAUUCACUCGCAACAGUAACCUAAUUCAACAAAUGUAUUAACAAGCUACAUAAAUCCAAAUCAUAAUGCAGAAAAAAAGGCCAUCCCUAACAGUGUUGAUCAGUCACUUAGGCCUUCUAUUUCUUCAGCGAAAGCCUAUGUCUUGAUACAGAUAUAGAUGUCUUUAUAUAUUAUAAUUUAAUUACUUUGUAUUGAUAAAAGCUUUGUAUUGAUAAAAGUCUCUGCAUGGCAAAAUCUAACUUGACAUUGCAAAUGAUCAUCAUCUGGUGUCAUGGUUGUUUUUCGGCAUCUUUCUUGCUAUGUGC
ensembl:lncRNA